rnacentral:lncRNA from 1 species
GGGACUACAGGCGCCCGCCAUCACGCCCGGCUGCUUUUUUUGUUUUAGUAGAGAGGAGGUUUCACCGUGUUAGCCAGGAUGGUCUCAAUCUCCUGACCUCGUGAUCCGCCCGCCUCGGCCUCUCAAAGUGCUGGGAUUACACGCGUGAGCCACCGCGCCUGGCCUGAAGAAAACAGGUGAAGACAGAACAAGAAAACAAACCAAGAAUUUCCCCUCACCAGCCACCAGCUCUGCCAGCAACUUGAUCUUAGACUUCCCAGCCUCCGUAACGCCUCUGCUUAUAAUCUGUCAUGGAUUGGAAAACUAGAAAAAACAGUUUACAGAGUAUAACAAACUUUGGAGGAGUUAAUCGACUCUAAGUAAAAGAGUAUCUAGCACGGCUGUGGAACAAAGGAGAGACUCACAAACUGUUGAAAGAAUAAAUGAAUGAAUGAAUUCUGUUCAUGAGCUUUAAUAAAACAGCUCUGAGUAGUAACAGUGGAUCAAAUUUAGGCUUCUUGAUGCAGGCAUGGUGUAGAUUACUACUUCUGUAUUGUCCCAGGAGCUCAGCACAUUCCUGCAGAGAUGAUAGGAGCUCAUCUGAUACUUGUCAGCUUUGAAUAAACUCCAGUCCCCAAGAGAGAGAAUGAGAAUCACCGGAAUACGAAACUUCCCUGUUGGACUUCCCAACAUUCUUGAAUGCACCAAGAUAGCCUCUUGCUGUGAGAUUAAUAAAUGAAUAAAUGCCUCCAUAUUUUUCAAAUCUGUGAAGUUAACAACAUGUAGAUUUUUUUGCAUAUUUAAAAACUGCAACUAAAUCUUAAUGCCUCUGAAGCAGAUGGAAGAAAAUAAUAGGCUUCCAUUAACUGUGUCAAAUUGUAUAGGUCUUGGCCAUCACUGGUCCUGUUGUGAUGAAGGUUUUUUGCCCUUGGAUAUAAUUUAAUUUUCAAUUCUUCUAAUUAUGGUACUUCAGAACAUCAAUAUUUGAGAUGAACUUCUCUAGUGUCAAGGACUGAUUUGAGUUGUGUAAACCCUGAAUAUCUGAGACAGGUCUCGAUUAUUUUAGAAAGUUUAUUUUGCCAAGGUUGAGGAUGUGUGCCUGUGACACGGCCUCGGGAGGUCCUGAGGACAUGUGCUCAAGGUGGUCAGAGCACAGCUUUGCUUUAUACAUUUUAGAGAGACAUGAGACAUCAACCGACAUAUGUAAGAUGAACAUUGGUUCCAUCUGGAAAGGCGAGACAACUUCAAACGAGGAGGGGGCUUCCAGGUCAUAGGUAGAUAAGAGACAAAUGGCUGCAUUCUUUUGAGUUUCUGAUUAGCCUUUCCAAAGGAGGCAAUUAGAGUGAGCAAAAUGAACAAAAUCAAUUAUUUUGAUUCUGAACAAAAUGGGAGGCUGGUUUUCCCUAAGCAGUUCCCAGCUUGACUUUUCCCUUUAGCUGAGGGAUUUGGGGGGCCCAAGAUUUAUUUUUCUUUCACCGUUGUAUCAAACUACACAGGCGGCCUUGGAAACCAUCACAGUUGAGAGUAGGUAACGCCCAUUUGUUGCAUAGUUUUGUGCUCCACACUCUUAUCUACAAAA